GACGAACGCUGGCGGCGUGCCUAAUACAUGCAAGUCGAGCGAGCGGACCUAACAGAUUUACUUCGGUAAUGACGUUAGGAAAGCGAGCGGCGGAUGGGUGAGUAACACGUGGGGAACCUGCCCCAUAGUCUGGGAUACCACUUGGAAACAGGUGCUAAUACCGGAUAAGAAAGCAGAUCGCAUGAUCAGCUUUUAAAAGGCGGCGUAAGCUGUCGCUAUGGGAUGGCCCCGCGGUGCAUUAGCUAGUUGGUAAGGUAAAGGCUUACCAAGGCGAUGAUGCAUAGCCGAGUUGAGAGACUGAUCGGCCACAUUGGGACUGAGUCACGGCCCAAACUCCUACGGGGGCAGCAGUAGGGAAUCUUCCACAAUGGACGCAAGUCUGAUGGAGCAACGCCGCGUGAGUGAAGAAGGUUUUCGGAUCGUAAAGCUCUGUUGUUGGUGAAGAAGGAUAGAGGUAGUAACUGGCCUUUAUUUGACGGUAAUCAACCAGAAAGUCACGGCUAACUACGUG
rnacentral:rRNA from 1 species